CAUUAUCAUAAGAAGAGCGAGUACAGUACAAUGAGGGUCAUAAGUCAGAUUCCUCCACUCCAAAAGAUGAAAUUAUGGCUGAAACACCUGCAAUACUACCACUAGAGCAGAGCAACUGGAGAAAACCCAGAUGACCCUGGAAGAGAAACUCUCUAAGGAUAUGAUGCCUUAAGAAUGACACAUCCCUGUGGCUGGUGACCUAAACAGAGUAUUGCAUUCAGUCUAAUGUGAACUGGAGGAGCAGCUAUACUUCCUUGAAGGUCCUUCCUGAAAAGGAUUUUCUCUGGGGUGGGGUGACUGGGUUAUUAAUAAAGGCAAACAAACAAAACAAAAUAGAAGACAGGCAUUUUUCUAAUUGUACCAAAACCUCAGGAAUGAAGCAUCUCUGACAAAUCAUACUCAAUACAAAAUUAGAAAAAGAAACUCACUCGUACUGGGAAGAUGUUAACCCUAACAACUCCCAAAUCCAAAGUUAAUCAUUCCUUGGUACCUGGCUAUGCUUGAGUUUUCACCCCUGUACAUUCAAAUUCUUAUCAGUACAUCAGAAAGAACAAGAACUUUGGACUCAGGUCCCAAGACCUAGAUCCUAAUUUGAAUACUCAGACUUACUAGCUAUUUAUC